UACGAAGGGGGCUAGCGUUGUUCGGAAUUACUGGGCGUAAAGGGCGCGUAGGCGGUCCUUCAAGUCAGGCGUGAAAGCCCCGGGCUCAACCUGGGAACCGCGCUUGAGACUGGCGGGCUAGAGUUCGGGAGAGGAUGGUGGAAUUCCCAGUGUAGAGGUGAAAUUCGUAGAUAUUGGGAAGAACACCGAUGGCGAAGGCAGCCAUCUGGACCGACACUGACGCUGAGGCGCGAAAGCGUGGGUAGCAAACAGG
rnacentral:rRNA from 1 species